rnacentral:rRNA from 1 species
AUUGAACGCUGGCGGCAUGCCUUACACAUGCAAGUCGAACGGCAGCAUGGAAGAGCUUGCUCUUCUGAUGGCGAGUGGCGAACGGGUGAGUAAAGCAUCGGAACGUACCGUGUAGUGGGGGAUAACGUAGCGAAAGUUACGCUAAUACCGCAUACGCACUGAGGUGGAAAGCAGGGGAUCGCAAGACCUUGCGCUAUACGAGCGGCCGAUGUCAGAUUAGCUAGUUGGUAGGGUAAAGGCCUACCAAGGCGACGAUCUGUAGCUGGUCUGAGAGGACGACCAGCCACACUGGAACUGAGACACGGUCCAGACUCCUACGGGAGGCAGCAGUGGGGAAUUUUGGACAAUGGACGCAAGUCUGAUCCAGCCAUUCCGCGUGCAGGAUGAAGGCCCUCGGGUUGUAAACUGCUUUUGUACGGUAACGAAAAGGUCUACUCUUAAUACGGGGGGCUCGAUGACGGUACCGUAAGAAUAAGCACCGGCUAAC